AUAAAGCAGCUAAAGAUGGUUCAGCCUCAGGCACCACUUUGCACUCUGGAGAUGUCAUGAAGGUGAGAUGAUCCUGCCAGACCACGUAAAAGAGGAACCCUAGGCUCGAAGGAAAUUUAAUGCAAUUCCCCCUUUGUUGAAAUCAAGCUGGUCUGAUGUCAAGAUAAUUCCCUAGUGUUACGCAACAGUGAUGUCUAUCAAGAUUUUCUAUCUCAAAGUCUUUGAACAGAGACUGAGGAAGAAAGAAAGAAAGAAAGAGAUGGCUCAGCAGUUGGGGAAAGACCGUAUUGUCAAUUAGCUACCAGACAGAAUACUGGGAAUAGCUUGUCCACCAGUUAGGGACACUGGAAGAUCUGUUCCUGGUGA